UGACCUCGGAUCAGACGUGAUUACCCGCUGAAUUUAAGCAUAUUAUUAAGCGGAGGAAAAGAAACUAACAAGGAUUCCCCUAGUAACGGCGAGUGAACGGGGAAGAGCCCAACACCGAAUCCCUUGGCGCAAGUCAACGGGAAAUGUGGUGUUAAGGUAGCCCUUCGUGUCAGUCUAGGCGUCUCAAGUCCACCUGAUUGUGGCUCAAGCCCAGAGAGGGUGUAAGGCCCGUAGAGACGCUCCGACUGAUUCCUGGGGUUUACCUACGAGUCGGCUUGUUUGGGAAUGCAGGCCAAAGCGGGUGGUAAACUCCAUCCAAGGCUAAAUACUGGCACGAGUCCGAUAGCGGACAAGUACCGUGAGGGAAAGUUGAAAAGAACUUUGAAGAGAGAGUUCAAUAGUACGUGAAACCGCUUAGAGGCAAACGGAUGGUGCUCAUACUGGCCUGAGGAAUUCAACUGUGACGGUGGCUGGACGAGCUGGCGUUCCGAUCUCUCUUUUGGGACGGGCGUCGGUUUGGCUAUCAGCUCCGACAUGGUGCACUUUCCUUGGUGCCUCCGCCACGACCGACGACACUGGCUACCCGCGGCUGGGGUAAGGUGACAAACUGCUUCGGCAAUUUGUGUUAUAGACCCCGGCGUCGGACAUGGUUUGGCCAGGACGUCGAGCUUGCGGCGCCCGCUCCUUGUGGGCUCGCAUGUUGGCUAGCUUGGCUGCGCCGAUGCUUGCACUGGACAACCAGUACAGGUGACGGUUGUGGUCUUGUCUCUAGUUGGCCUCUGCGAGUUUGGCGCCUAUAGUCUGUGGUGUACUUGUGGGUAGACUAUCCGACCCGUCUUGAAACACGGACCAAGGAGUCUAACAUGUGCGCGAGUCAUGGGGAUUCUACGAAACCCAAAGGCGCAGUGAAAGUAAAGGCCUGCUUCUCGUAGGCUGAGGUGGGAUCUCGUGCAUCGCGAUUGGCGAGCGCACCACCGGCCCGUCCUAUCUGUCUCUGUCAGUGGGGCGGCGCAAGAGCGUACACGUUGGGACCCGAAAGAUGGUGAACUAUGCUUGCGCAGCUCGAAGUCAGUGGAAACACUGAUGGAGGAGCGCAGCGUUUCUGACGUGCAAAUCGAUCGUCAAACGUGAGUAUAGGGCGAAAGACUAAUCGAACCAUCUAGUAGCUGGUUCCCUCCGAAGUUUCCCUCAGGAUAGCUGGCACUCGGGAAACAGUUUUAUCCGGUAAAGCGAAUGAUUAGAGGCAUUGGGGUCGAAACGACCUCGACCUAUUCUCAAACUUUAAAUGGGUAAGAUGCUCGUCUCGCUUAAUUGGAGGCGGGCUUCACCUCUCUAUAACGUGAAUGUGAGUGCCC
rnacentral:ncRNA from 1 species